CAUACUUAUCAAAUUCAUAUUUAUUUGCACCUUAAGUGUAACAACUAUGCUCAUUGAGCCAUCACAUAUCCAUCUAUACAGGUGUGCAUUAAAAUCAGUUUAUCACAUACAAGUAUUCACACACAUUACCUGUUACAUUAGCAUCACAUUCCACAAUUCAACACAAACGCACUUACCGUUUUCUGCACACUUUCACUACACAUUUAUACCGCUAACACAACAUCAUCACUAUCAUUCGGCACGUUUCACAUGCCUACAACUAACACAUUCACAAGAGCUUUUACAUGUUACAUUACCACAACUUAAUACUUAAUCCACAUCACACAAUCACAUACUUUACGAAAUAAAUGAGGGGUCUAAAAAAGCUUACACUCGGAACUUAGGAUAGGGUUUUAGGUUAUUCCUAAGCUCUCGAUUAACGCUAUGAAUCAUGUCUACAAGUAGCGAUACGAAACACUCACCGUUCAUG
rnacentral:lncRNA from 1 species